rnacentral:tRNA from 1 species
UCCCAGGUGGCUCAGUGGUAAAGAAUCUGCCUGCCAAAGCAGGAUACCUAGGUUUGAUCCCUGGGUUGGGAA